GCUUGAUUAGCUCAGCUGGUUAGAGCGUCGUACUAAUACAGAAGUCUCCUCUGUAUCCUGUAAUGCGAAGGCCAACAGUUCAAUCCUGUUAUCGAGCA